rnacentral:rRNA from 1 species
UACGUAGGGUGCGAGCGUUGUCCGGAAUUAUUGGGCGUAAAGGGCUCGUAGGCGGUUUGUCGCGUCGGGUGUGAAAACAUCGGGCUUAACUCGAUGCUUGCUUUCGAUACGGGCAGACUUGAGGUAUGCAGGGGAGAAUGGAAUUCCUGGUGUAGCGGUGAAAUGCGCAGAUAUCGGGAGGAACACCAAUGGCGAAGGCAGCUCGCUGGGACGUUACUGACGCUGAGACGCGAAAGCGUGGGGAGCAAACAGG